CUGAGCCUUCAUGAAGUGGCCACAUUCUUAAAAGAACAAGGUGUUAUUAAUGCUAUCAACCUAGAUGGUGGUGGAUCAGCUACCCUAGUUAUAAAUGGAACAAUCGCUAAUUAUCCAUCUGAUCACUGGUAUGUAUUAAGGUUAAUGUAAGCGUUUUGAAAAGUGUGGGGGAGUUGUUGUUUUUUCUUUCUUUAUCGCAAACAUACUAAAUACAAAGAAAUGUUACUUUAUUUUAAAUUAUUCAGCUCAGAUAUACCCAUUUCUAGUGCACGUUAGAGUACAUAAGAUUUUUUUUUUUUUUAAAUUGGCAUAAUAAUUGCAUUGGACUUUCUUUAAAAUGUCAACAUAUUCAAAUGUUUUACUUAAACAGUAGGGAAGUUUAACCAUUAAAUAUGUCUGUAAAAUCUCAAUAAAAAUUUGUGUUCGCCACUAGUCAGUGUUGGUGGCCAAUGUCAUAGGCAAUACCUUCCUAUAAGAACCUGCUAUACAUAAGCAAAAGGACCCCAUUAAGUUUGAACGUCUAAUGUUCUAAAAAAAAACACAAAAUUCUAGUUUCAGUUAUGCACAAAUAUGAUAUGGUAUUCUGAGUGUUGACUCCACCUGUGAUAAGGGCAAAAAAUUUACAGAGUCAUAUUCUGUCCAGUUACAAUAUACAUACAGAUUUCCAACAUGUUUUCAGCUAGCCGGAUGUACUCUGCAACAAAGGUCACAGAUUAAAAAAAUAAAAACAACCCACCAACCUGUUACUUUACAGCAAAAAUGAAAUCAUCAAUUAAUAAAAAAUAAAAAAAAACAUCCAUUAACUGUUUUUGUUCAACCAUAAUUUUAAAUGGUUCUCUUUAAUUGCCCCCUUAAAUAUUAUUAUUAUUUAUUUUUUUUUAAAGGGACGUUGUUGGCACUAUAACCAUAUUAUCUAAUUGAUAAUCCCUGGCACUGUCCUUCCAUUCAGUGUUAAACCAUUUUCGAGCGGUUUAUUACAGAAUGAGGAUGACUUGCUUCCCACAGCUUUGCUCCCAAUGAAGGUAGAGAUUACACACUUCCUUGUAGCCAUACCAAUUCAUACCUGCAAUGAGCACAGCUUAAAGGGACAGUAUAGCCACCAAAACAACUUUACCAUAAUGAAGCAGUUUUUGUGUAUAGAACAUUCCUCUGAAGUCUCACUGUUCACAUCUCUGCCAUUUAGGAGUUAAAUCACUUUUGUUUCUGUUUAUGCAGCUCUAGCCACACCUUCCCUGGCUGAGACUGACACAGACUGCAUGAAAACAAACUGGUUUCAUUUUCAAUCACAUGUAUCCGUUUUUUUAUUUCUUGCUCUGUAAAUAGAACUUUAAUUACAUACAUGGGGCUCCUGCAGGGUCUUAUCUGCUAUUAACAAAGCAACAGAUAAGAAUUUGCAAUAAAGGAAGUGUACACAUUAGAUGACUUCUUACAGGAAGUGUGUAGGCUGUGCAAGUCACAUGCAGGGAGGUGUGACAGGGCUGCAUAAACAAAAUGAUAUAACUCCUAAAUGGCUGAGAAUUGUUUGGGUGACUAUAGUGUCCCUUUAAUCUGGUCAUUUGACACUCAGAUAAUCACAGCUGUCUGUUGCUGCAUAGGCUAAUGCUUUCUCGUUAGCUUAAGCAGCACAGAGAGGAUGGCUUGCUGGGUCUCUUGUUAUUAAAACCGUUUAACACUGAAUGAAAGGACAGGGCUAGGAUGCUCCUUACACUAUAACCACUGCAAUGAGAUGAAACCGUUAUGAUGCCUAGUGUGGCCCUUUAAAGGACAGCGAUUUUCUUUAAUAUCCUAUAUGUAUACCUGAUACAACAUUGAAAUGGUUAUUCACCAAAGUCUGACUAGCCCUUUACCGAAUGGAGCAAAACUAUUUGGCUACAGACCCCUUCGGACUGCAAAAUCCAGAAAUUGUUCGCAAUUUUUAACAAUAUACACAUAUUGUAUUGCAGUCAGAACAAAUGCCACCUGAUGGCUGAAAUCUGGACUGAAUUAAUUAAACCCAGAAUUAAUUAAAGCUUCAAAUCCAGCCCUGGAUUAAAAAAAUAUCUGAAUUAUUUACCUGCUGCACUGGGCAAAUAGUAAAAAAAAACCCUCUGAGACAUAAAUAAGACUUCCAUAUUACUGGCGACUGGCCAAAAUCUAAGUAAAUAAAAAGCUUCUGAGAGUCAAUAAGACUCCCAUAUUACUGUAAGGGAGGUUUUAAACCUCCCUAUUCCCCCACCUGCCAUGCAGCCAGCAGGUGCAGGCUAUUAUAAUAAGAUAGCAUUAAGAUUAAGUGGUCUGGUUGCCUUCGAUGUCCAUUUAAUAUAAAUUUACAUUAAUUCCAGUGACAAAUUUCAUUUAACAAGCAUUGUAUGUGGUAAUCCUGAAUUCACUUUUUAGGAACAUUACCACUAGCAAAUAACACAAUUUAGAACCAGAGCCUUUUAACACUUAAACAAGCACUGUUCUGUAUCCCCAUUAUUAAUGGUAUAAGAAGGUCUGCUGUUUUUCCGCACUCUUUACCGCAUUGUCCCUUUUUUUUUUUUGUCCUCAGUGCACAUGAGCCAAUGUGGCGCUGCUCAAGGAGUAUCUCUACAGUUUUAUGUGCUCACGAGCCUAACUGUGAUC